AAUGAACGCUGGCGGCGUGCCUAACACAUGCAAGUCGAGCGAGAAAGUCCCCUUCGGGGGGCGAGUAAAGCGGCGCACGGGUGAGUAACGCGUGGGUAACCUGCCCUUGAGUGGGGGAUAACCAGCCGAAAGGCUGACUAAUCCCGCAUACGACCGGCAGACACAAGUCUGUCGGGGAAAGAUGGCCUCUGCUUGCAAGCUAUCGCUCUUGGAUGGGCCCGCGUUGGAUUAGCUAGUUGGUGAGGUGAAGGCUCACCAAGGCGACGACGGGUAGCCGGCCUGAGAGGGUGACCGGCCACACUGGAACUGAGACACGGUCCAAACUCCUACGGGAGGCAGCAGUGGGGAAUAUUGCACAAUGGGCGAAAGCCUGAUGCAGCAACGCCGCGUGAGCGAUGAAGGCCUUUGGGUCGUAAAGCUCUGUCCUUGGGGAAGAAACAAAUGACGGUACCCUUGGAGGAAGCCCCGGCUAACUACGUGCCAGCAGCCGCGGUAAACACGAGAGUAC
rnacentral:rRNA from 1 species